rnacentral:lncRNA from 1 species
CUACGUUUUCUCAUCUACCUCCUUCUACCUUCUUUUGAUAUUACAUUUCUAUGUUUGACUUCUACAUAAUACAACAACACACUUCACGUCACUCGCGUAGGCCACAGCUACACCGAGCGCUUCGCAGGAAGUUCAUUGGGGUCACCGUCUGUGGCGACGGCUCGUACCAGUAAUCACUCGGCAAUCCGCAGCACAUAACACUUUGGUAUCAGCGUUGGACCAUCCGAUUGAGGAGGAACGAAAACUAGAGAUGGAUGGACAGAUUGACCAGCUGGAAAGAGGGUUGGACAACGUCCGACGCUCGAUAGUCGAUUUGACACAAAGAGAACAAAAUCCUGCGAGAUUUGUUCGUUGACGGCGCAACUCACUGAGUUGCAGGAGGCUAUUAACGCCAUGGGAGGUAGAAUGGAAAGGUUGGAACAAGGAAACCAUCGUGGAGGAAUAUUGGGACCAUACAUCGGAGGAGGGAACAGAGCCAAUCUAAGACAACCAGGACAUCGAGUCAAAAUUGACUUUCCGAAGAUUGUGGGCGGUGAGGAUCCGACGACGUGGGUCUGCCGCGCUGAGCAAUUUCUUGAGUACUAUCAAACGGAAGAGGCAGAUAGUGUUCUCUUGGCCUCUAUAUACAUGGAAGGUGAAGCUCAAGUUUGGCUUCAGAUUCUCCGAGAGCAAGGGCAGGUGACGUGGGAACAACACAAGGUCAGACUCUUAUCGCGGUUCGGACCGUCUCAAUUUGAGAGUCCAUUCGCGAAUUUGGAUAGUAUAGGGUGAUUCGAAGUCUAAGUCAUUUUCUCCAGUUUGGUUCAACCAUUUUAUCGUGUAGUCUUGUAACCUUUGUUUUAGCUUUUGGUUUAUAGCAAUUUCAUUUUCUUUUUGAUUGAUUGAUUCUCGUGGCACCUAAACCACAAACUUGUUAGUCGAUUAACACUUUUCAUAACUUUGACUAGUCACGAUAAAGAGACCCUAGGGAGAUUCGACCCUAAUUACUUAGGUAAUUAGGUUUAUUUUGACACGAGUAAAAUCCGUUCAUCGAUACCCAUGGUAAAAAAAUAUGACAGCUCUUGGCGAAUGUGCAUGGACUAUCGAGCCCUCAACCUACGGUCAAGAACAAAUUUCCAAUUCCAGUGAUCGACGAGUUGCUGGAUGAGCUCCAUGGCGUUUGCUACUUCACAAAGCUCGACUUACAAUCUGGCUACUACCAAAUCAAGGUGGCAGAAGAGGAGGUGCCAAAGACCACUUUUCGUACACACCGAGGCUAUUACAAGUAUCUCGUCAUGCCCUUCGGCCUCACCAAUGCCCCGUCAACGUUUCAAUCACCAAUGAAUAAGGUAUUUCGUCCUUUCCUCGGUCGAUUCGUUCUUGUUUUCUUUGAAGAUAUCCUUGUGUACAGUAGAACGAGGGAGACGCACAUGGAUCACCUAGCCCAAGUUUUUGUUGUACUACGUGACCAGAAGUUGUUUGUUAAAAGGAAAAAGUGCUCAAUUUCCACACAAGAAGUGAAUUACCUGGGACAUAUUAUCUCUGCAACAGGUGUAGCCGCCGACCCAAAAAAAAUUCACGCCAUGACGGAUUGGACGCAACCCAAGACAACACGAGCAUUACGGGGGUUUCUGGGAUUGACGGGUUAUUACCGGAAAUUUAUUCAAGAUUAUGGGACGAUCGCUAGGCCUUUGACACAAAUUUUGAAGAAAGGACAGUUCGGGUGGUCCGAGGAAGCUACCACAACUUUCCAACGUCCCAAGCAGGCCAUGAUUACGACACCGGUGCUACGUCUACCCAAUUUCGAGCAGCCCUUCAUCGUUGAGUGUGAUGCUUGUGGAACGGCAUUGGGGCGGUCCUAAUGCAGGAAGGCCGAGAUAUAGCCUACUUCAGCAAGCUAUUCAUGGGAAAUCGCUAGCAUUAUCAGUGUAUGAGAAAGAGAUGUCGGCUCUCGUUGUGUCCGUGAAACGUUAGCGACCGUAUCUGUUGGGACAUGGAUUCAUUGUCAAAACAGACAAACACAGUCUCAAGUAUUUAUUGGAGCAGAAAAUCACUACUCUCAUGCAAGAAAAUUGGUUAACAAAGCUCAUGGGUUACGACUUUGAGAUAGAGUACAAGAAUAGAAGCGAGAACAAGGCGGCCGAUUCCUUGUCUCAAAAAUUUGAGAAGGGGAUGUUUUGCUAUCUCCACUCCGGUUGCUGAUUGGGUACCAAAAAUUCUGGAAGAUAUACAGGGAAGCCUGGCCACGGUGGAGUUGCGGAGCCGCUGCCUCUUUCAGCGGAAUGGACAGUGAAGCAUGGCAUUUUAUUUAAGCGAGGGCACAUUUAUUUACUAAAAGAAUCGACCCUAGUUCCUACUAUUAUAUAAGAGAUGCAUAAUGUGACCCAUGAAGGUUAUGGUGCGCGAUUUCAUUCGCAGUUGUGCUGUUUGUCAAGCUAAUAAAGUGGAAUUGCUCAAACCCGCAGGGUUGCUACAUCCUCUUUCCAUACCAACCGAGAUCUGGUGAGUCAAUGGACUUUGUGGAAGGUCUUCCCAAAUCAGGCGACAAGGUAGCUAUGCUCGUCGUGGUUGAUCGCCUAUCGAAAAUGGCACACUUCCUUGCACUUAAUCAUCCGUACACGGCUGCAAGCAUAGCAAAGCUGCUCUUCGAACAAGUUUUUAAUUUAUAUGGGCUGCCGGCAUCCAUCGUGUGUGAUCGGGAUCCAACAUUUACAAGCAAUUUCUAGAAGGAAUUUUUUCAGUUACAAGGUACUUUGUUCAACUUUAGUUCGACCUAUCACCGUCAACAAAACCUUGGAGAUGUAUUUUCAAUGCUUCACUGUUGGGCGGCCUAAGGAGUGGGGAAAGUGGAUAGCUUGAGUUGAAUACUAUUACAAUACAAGUGUCCACUCGACGACUGGGCGCACCCCAUACGAGGUGGUGUAUGGGAAGAAGCCUCCCACGAUAUUAUCAUAUGUUCCGGGAACGACACGAGUGGCAGCGGUGGACGAUGACUUGCAGCAGCUGGAUGAGCUUCUAAAGGAGCUCCGGGGCCGCGUACUCAAGGCUCAGGAGCGGAUGAUCAAAUACUAUAAUGCUGGACGCACGAGUGGAGUUUUCAGGUGGGAGAGUGGGUCUAUGUGAAGUUGCAAGCGUAUAGGUGGUCGACGAUGCGUGGAACUUCCUUCUCCAAGCUGGGGCCGAAAUGGUAUGGACCGUAUUGCAUGGAGGCAGCUGUGGGAGAGCGGGCUUACAAGCUCCUCUUGCCAAGGGGCGCGAGUUCAUAAUUUCCGCAAUAAAGCGCUGAUUAUUUCUAAUUUUUUUAUUGUAGUCACAUAAUGAAACAAAGUCAACUAUAUAACAAAGAUAAUAUUAUUUCGUCACCUCGGGAGGAACGUGACGUGCAUGAAAUAAAUAUCCCAUGCAUUGACUUCCUCCAACGUGCUAUCAACUCGUCCCAACGACCAAAGGAAAAAAAAAUCCUUCCCCUCGAAAAAUUGCUUCCUAUUUAUACCUCCAAUUCAUAAUUCCUAAACAAAACAUCCCUAAACCUCAAACCCAAAUUCCAACUCAAAAAGAACAUGGAACAUCAUUCUUCUUCUUGUUGCCGCCACCCACCCUCGCCGCGGCUUGCACGUAGUCGAAGCACGACUGAAGUUAACAAUAAUGCAAUCCUUUCUCCAUCGGCGACGUUGUUAAGUCGCAGUCAGAGACUCAACAACGUUGUGCGCUCAACAUCCACAACCAAAUCCCGAGACGCAAAAACCAUAGCCAAAAUCAAACCGGUUGUUCAAAAACACAAAGAUGGGCUGGUUCGGUUUCUUCCACGUGGCGAAAGCUCGGGUAGUCUGAUCGCAGGCUCAACAAGUUCCAAACCCAGGCCUAAUUACAUCAAACAGUCCGGUCCAUUAUCUCCAUCAGCUUGGGCCUUAUCCCCAGGCCGAUCCACUACUAACUACUUCCCAACUCCACUGCCACCUCCACCAGCUAUGACAGAACCACAACGCCGCAGUAGUGGAGGCGGCGAAAUGAGUAGCGUCUGGACGAAGUAUUUCAAAAAAGGUUCGUCAACGACCAAAAAAGUUCAGGAAGAAUGCCGGAGGAAGUUCAGAGUUGUGAACAGUACGUUGGUCCAGUGGAGAUUCGCUAACGCGAAGGCAGAAGCAGCGGCAGAUGCGAGGGAGCUUGUCGCACAUGCGAAGCUGGUCAACGUGUUGCUUAGGAUUUGGGAGAAGAGGAAAAGGGUAAUGGAGAAACGGAUGGAGAUUCAAAGGAUGAAGGUAGAGGAGAAGCUGAGUCGGAUGAUGAGCUGGCAGCUGAUUCUACUGACUGAGUGGCAGAAAAUGGAAAGGAAGAAUGUUGAGGCGGUCAGUCGAGUGACUCGGAAACUCGGUGCUGUUUCUGUGAAGGUGCCGUUACUUGACGACGUCAAGGUAUACUUAACAACUUUUAAUUGGAUAAUAAUAAUAAUCAAGGAUUUUAUAUAUUCUUUGUACAAUUUUAUGAUAAAGUUUCAAUAAUUUGAAAAACUCAAAGGGAGAAGUCGAUUCGAUCGAGGAGGCUUUGAGGACGGCGACGGAAGUCAUGAAUGACAUACAAGAAUUGCUAAGCAAAUUCUUCUUACAGGUUAAUAAUUUAAUUUUACCUUUCGAAAUUUAAUUUGUUGGAGUGAAUUUUAGAUUGAAAUGAGUUGAUUAACGUUGGAGUAAAAUGGUAAUUAAUAGUUGGAGAAAAAUCUGUAUUUACUAACGGAGUUAACAAGCGGUGUGGAACACCAAAGCCAUAAACUAGAAGAAAUGGAGAAAAUUAUUGACGUUCUGGCUCAUUUACUGGUAAUUAAGCUCAUGAGCUUUUUUUUAUAUAUAUUUGCAAGAGAUGAUACAAUUUGGUUAAUAUUUGAGUCCGGUUUUAUAUUUGUACAUGCAGGUGUGGGAGAACAAUGUAAGAGUCGAAUUCCUUCAGAUGGUGGAUAACUCGUUAUAAAGUUUGAAACUACAAUCAUGUGUACACUCGUGGAGUGAAAUGCACCGAAUGUCAUUUAUGUUUGACAGUUUCGUACAUAUUAACUAAUCAUUAUGGUUUCGGCACUAAAAGUUAUCUACGUUUAUCUUUAAUAACUGAUCAUCAGAUCAGCCGGCGGUUACUCAUCCACCAUUUCCCUAUACAUACACACACAACUUCCUCCACUCCCUGCAUAAUAUAACUUCUCUUCAAUACCUUCAAUACCUUCCAUUUCCUUCCUCUCUGCAAAAAAAAAAAAACUACUCUCUCUUCUCAAACCAAACAAUGGCGCCUCGUCCAAGCAACCUCGUCCUAACGAUCCUCAACACCCUAACCCUCCUCGCCGGCCUCGCCCUCUUCGCCACCGGAAUCUACCUAUCCGUAACCUCCUCUUCCUCCGCCCCACACUGCCAGACCUUCCUCCGAAACUCGCUCCUCAUCUUAGGCUCCUUCGUCCUCCUCGUCUCCAUCCUCGGCCUCCUCGGUUCGAGCAGGAGGAAUAACGUCUUCCUCUGGCUCUACACCGUCCUCCUGCGCCUCCUUGUGGUCGGAGCCGUGGGUUUCACAGUGUUCAUGCUCGUUGUGACCAAGCAGCACCACGGUGGCGCCACGGUGGGCGAUUUUUCCGGGUGGAUGCGUCACCAUUUUGCCAAGGGGCAUAAUUGGGACGUUGUGAGGAGUUGCCUCGUUGAAGGGCAGGUUUGUAACGUGGGGAGUGGGAGGAAAGCUCGCAACUCUACUUUAAUGGUAUGCUACCUUCGAUUUAAUUUUAUGAAUUAGUACAUAUAGAUUUUAUGUGUUUGAAUUUUCUGGCUUCACCCUCUGCGCGAUGUGGACCGUUCAUUAGACAUAAAGGCAAGUAUAAUUAAAUUUGAAAGUUUUGUGAUAUUUUUUUGAAUUUGGUGUUGUAAUACUUGGUGUUGUCUAUCAAGUAGCCCUUUAGCGACAGCCGAAACUGUCACUAAUUAUUCAAAUAAUUUAUUUUUUGCCGACGGGGCAAACAAAACAGGUGGGCUGCUGCAAACCGCCGCCGGGAUGCACACCGGAGAAUGCCGACGCGACGAUGGCGGCCACGGGGAACAAAGAAAAGCAGGGUGCUCCUGGAAAUGAAGAGUGCGGGAAAUGGAGCUCCGACCCGAAGAAGAUGUGCUACAACUGCGAGAGAUGCAAGGCCGGUUUCCUGAGCGAAGUGAGGAAGCAAUGGAGGGCGGCGGGAGUGGCUCUUCUCUGCUUCGUGGUGUUCAUGAUGGUAGUGCUCUGUAUGGCUUGGUGCGCCAUCAACAACAACAAGUUUGACUCCGAAGUUUCCAGCCCUUGAGAUUAUAUUGUUGGGUUAAUCAUCAUAAUCAAUAUCUAAUUAAUUAGCCUUGGUAAUUUUCUAUCAUUGAUUUUUCUUAUUUUUGUCUUCAGUUUGUUGUCAUAGAUAUCAGUGACAGUAAUAUUGUUGUUUUGGUCACGGAAAUUCUUUCUUUUCAGUGACCAUUUCUUUGUACUGAGCCCAAAUGCCUACUUAUGUUUGGUGCAAAUUUAUUAUUAAUAUUUUUUCGAGCAUUAGACAUUGUAAAUGAUUUUGUUUAAUAGCACCAGGCUCAAGAUCGAUGAACAAUCAAUCAAUUUAUUAAAAAUUAUCUCUUGUUAGUAGGAUGAACGAAAAAUCAAGUCACAUAAUUCAAAAUAGGUCUAAUAGUAACAAAAAAUAGUUAUCCAAAAUUAAUUUUGAGUUGGGACACAUUCAAAUUCACUUUAUUAGGGAGAAUGGUAUUAUCUGAACAUAGGUUUAAUAAUACUAUAUAUAUCAUUUUUUUUUCUGUCAUUUCAACUAGUUUCAUGAUAUAUGAAAUUAUUCCAAUCCGAACAAAAUUAAUCAUAAUUUCCUACAUAUAAAAAAAUAAUUCAUUUUGCCAAAUCUCAUAAUAUUUUGAAACAUGUGCGUAAAUAAACAGGCGUUUGUCAAAGCCUGGUGUGCCGCAUGCAAAUCACCCACCCCCGCUAAAGUAGUAGUCCCACCGGGGGAGUACCUCACCGGAGUGACGAAGCUGCUUGGUCCAUGCAAUGCUCCGAUCGAGCUUGAAAUCAACGGCAUCAUCAAGGCACCCAAGGCCGUUGCUGGUGAAGACUGGUUGCUCAUCGAAAGUAUCAACGAUAUCAGGGUAUUUGGCACCGGCACAGUCGAUGGCCAAGGUGCAGAAUGCUGGGAGAAAAAGAUAAAGGAUGAUCGUUCACCGGUAAGUAUCCGUUUUACUGUAAUUUUAUACCGACAUUUCGUAUCUAAUUAACUUAUACAUAUGAUGUUAUUAACGUUACUUUUAUGGGGCGAGUGUUCAGAACAUUAGGUUCCAGCGCAUCAACAACGGGUUGGUUGAGGGGCUCACGAGCAAAGACAGCAAGUUCUUCCACAUGUCCACCCUCGGCGCCAAGAACUUGACCUUCAGACACCUGCACUUCAUUGCUCCGGCCGAGAGCAGGAACACCGAUGGCAUCCACGUCAGCAGGUCAUCAUUCAUCACAAUUAUCGACACCAUCUUCGAGACGGGCGAUGAUUGUGUCUCCAUAGCCGACGACAUCGAUACAGUUACCGUCAAGAACGUGAAGUGCGGGCCCGGCCACGGCAUCAGCAUCGGGAGCUUAGGGAAGUACGACACGGAGAAGCCGGUGAAGAAUAUCUGGGUCCAGAACUGCACCAUCUCCAACUCCGAUAACGGGGUCAGGAUCAAGUCGUGGCCUGACAGGUUCGCCACAUCGUUGACCGGCGUCCGUUUCGAGGACAUCACAUUGGACAACGUCGCGAACCCAAUCAUCGUCGACCAGCUGUACUGCCCUAAUAACGAGUGUAAGGGCAAGGUAUGUAGGCACAUUUGACAAGGUUAUUUGUUAUCAAAUGGUUCCAUCCCAAUAACUCUAAAGUCUUUUAUUAAUUUUCUGUGCAUUUAUAGUUGGGCCCGAGCAAGGUGCAGAUCAGCGACAUAACGUUCAAGAACGUGAAGGGAACUUCGAGUACGAAAGAGAUCAUCCAGCUCGUUUGUAGCAAAACCCUUCCUUGCGAGAACAUCCAAAUGACCGACAUUGAUAUCUCUUUCAAAGGUGCUGUUGGUGAAGCAGUCUGCGAGAAUGUGAAGCCGGUGCUUUCAGGGGUCAUCAACCCACCAGGUUGCGGUGACGCCAAACAAGAAUUAUAGAGACCGCACGCACUUUAUAUAUUAGUAUCUACUCUUAUUUUUGAUCGAUUUAUCAUUCAUUUUUGGAAUCUGAUUGGAAUAAUGGAGAAGUAAAAAGACUUUGGCGGCGAUUUAUAAUAAGCAUUUUGAAUAUCUGUAUUCAAGAAUAUAAAAUAUGUACAAUGAAAGAUGAGACUCUUCAUCAUAUUUCACAUUCCACUUAAAAUUUUAAAAGCGACUCGCUAUGCAGUUGCCGUUUUCAUAUUUAUAUCCUCUUUUAUCCUUCCGAAAAAAAUUAUCUUCUGAAAAAUGAAGACUGACAAUAAAGUUUCGUGGAAAAUAGAAAAUUUCUUUAUCGAAUUGAAACUGAUGAUUUAUGCCUCCUCUUUCUUAGUCUUAGAGCGUUUAAAGUAAAGAGCAUGACUCUACCGCUUCAGUUAAAAGAGUUUUUUUAUUAAAUUCAAUACAUAUGCUAAUAAUAUAAACUAUGAUAAUAUGUUAUAGCAUUCGUGUGUCUGUUACAAGAUGGCAAAACUAAAUAGUUCAGAUGAAAUCUAAUGUGAAAAAAAUUAAAAUAAAAUUAAGAAAGAAUAUGUUCGACGGAAGGUUUAGAAUAUGUGAGACUGAAGGAUGAUCCAGAAUUGAGGUUCUUUCUCUCCUACUGUACACCGAAUUUUCCUCGAAUUGUAGUUCAAUCAAUCAGAGCACCACCCUAUCAAGACGAAAGGUGCGGGUUCGAUCCCCGUCCUUCCCGACCUAAGAUCCUUCUUUCGUUUCGUAUGUAUCAUCGGACAAAUCACGGCAAAGAAAACAAAUGACAAUAACUAGUACGGUUUGAUGGGGAAGAUACAUAUUAAGGAUUCAACCAAUAACACAACAUUGACAUUCUGUAGGGGAAAAACUGUGGAUCGAGAUAGCAUCAAAGGGCAGGCACUCUACCGAAAAAAUGCUUCAUGCUAGGAAUGUAAGCUACCUGACCAAACUAGUGAUACGAAAAGACAACCUGCCCAGUGUCGGAAGUAAAUAAACCAAAAAGUAAUCAAACCUUCUCCUUUUAUCGUACCAAAAAAUCUUAAAGAUGUUUAGAUUUCUAAUUAUUUGCUCCUUAUUAGUAACUGCUUCCAUAAAAAUUCUAAAUCGUUGUUCAACCCAAAAAGACAUAUGCAAUAGAUCAUCUGAUUAUGCCUAUCUGUCGAAGAUUUUUCUUUUUAAUUCAGCUGUUUUUUCGCUCGUUCAAACAAUUUCAUUAGGUUGGCCUUAAUUAUAACAUCACUUCUUUCUCCACCGUCUCGGGCUCCAACACAUCCACUGGAGAAAGAUUUAGAUCAACGUCCAACUGAGAACCGGGGGUUUGAGAUUGAUGGGCUACCACCCUCCCCCCAUCCCCGACCAAAGAAGACAUCAUUAUGUUCCCUGAAUCAAGGAGAGAAAAUAAUUUCUGUUAAAAUGCCCAUCACACCAUCCUACUCGACUAAAAAGCAAGUUGACUGAUUUAUGGUGGAUUUCUUUUAUCCAAAAAAUACUUCUUAUUAAUUCGAGUAAUACAAAAACGAAAUAACAUAUAAUGGAAACAAGUAGUAGAAUUAGAAACGAAUAUAGAAAUUGACGGAAUCGAGUUCGCUCGACCAAUCCAUAAUAGAGGUUAGAAGUAGCUCUUUCGAAGUGAGAGGUUAGAGAAAUCUCUAAGAUACGUAGCAAAUGAUAUUCAUGUGAUAGUAGUUAGUUUAAUUUAUUUAUCGGGCUUGGACCAUGUCUCCCAAACAAUCGAAGUAUAUAUGGUGCAAAACGGUUCCACAUAUUGAGGGCAAAAUGUGGCAUUGCUUCGUCGAUCCGAACUAUAACCCGAGCAAAGGCGAGUAUUACCCUUGGAGGCUCCUUUCUCGUCCGGGCUAGUAAAAAGGUUAUAAGAACUGUAGCUAACAAGUGUUCCUUGAGGGGAUUCUUACUUUGUUAAUUACUAGUACAUAUUUAUCUAUGUUUGAAUUUUUUCGACUUCACCUCUGUGUGAUGUGAGUCAUUUAUUAUGUGACAUAAAAAAAACUUUUAGAUGUUUCUUUUGCGUAUAGUGAAUCGCAAGUAUAAUUAAAUGUAAAAUUUUGUGAAAAUUAGUGAUGUAAUACUUGUGAUGGUUAUAAAUAUGUUCAAUUAAUCAAAACUGAAAAAUAAUGAGGCCAAACAGUUAUCUCUCUUAGGAGAGUUCCGCCAGAGCCAAACUUGGAAUUUUCCAACACUAGCCGCAAUCCUAAUUCCCAACCAUCCUUAGCACCAGAAUCGAACACCUCAAUCCGUCGAAGCCUUUAAACAGCCGCAAUCCUACUGCUCAAGUCACCCCCAUCACCGACGCCAAACAUCCAAUUCAUCAAAGCCUUCAAACCAUCACGACGCCAACCAACGAUCUUCUUACACCAGCUAGCCUUCUCAUGAACAAUACAGGCGACGCAACCAGUGGAGGGAACUCCACAUCAACCAGGCCGACAGUCCGUAACUCUUUCGGUUGCUCCAUGAAUAACAUCGAAGCCGCCCCCGCCGGUGGGAGCCUGCGCCCGUCCGGCCGGCGCCUCCUAACACCUCCCGCCCCUCCAAUAGGCUCUGCAGCAUCGACAGCAUCAUAAGCCGUCAUCUCAACCCUAACCGGCUCCGCACAACAAUCUACCCCAAACCGGACCUUAAUGAUCGCAACAACCGAUCUAAUUAAUGACCGUCCAGUGGUCCUCAUCCCCAAGUUAGCAGCAUUAUCCUUAGCCGAUGUUGUCAGCCAUCCGCCAGUCUGGGAAUAUGAAUACUGUAUCGUGGGAACUUUCCCCACGAAGAAGGAGAUUAAUUUCUUCGCUAUGAAAAAGUGUUUACCGAAUGCUUGGCAACCAAUCUGCGUGGUCGAGAUCACGCAGCUGGAAGAUCAUUGUCUACUCUUCCGAUUUGCACGCGACGUUGAUGUUUGGAAUGUGAUAGGCCACGACCGUUGGUUCUUCGACAAACAGUUGCUGAGCACUCAUGAACUUCAAAUGGGCGAAACCCCGAUCAGGUAUCGCUCCAAACGAUGGACAUGUGGAUCCGCAUUCAUAACCUACCGUUUGGUUACUUCUCAGAGGAAGUAGGAAGAUUACUAGGGGGUUUGGCAGGGGACUACAUUGGAUAUGACGAGAAAAACCGUAUAGCUUACGUGAAUGCCUACAUGAGACUGAGAGUCGCUUUGGAUAUUGGCAAACCCUUACUUAAGGAGCGUCCAGUCACUCUCCAUAAGGAUGUCGAGAUCACCUGUAAAUACAAAUACGAGCGACUACCCAAUUUCUGUUUUAUCUGUGGGAUUAUGGGACAUGUAGAGAAAAGUGCGAGUUGCGACUCGAAUUUUCAGAUGAACAGCUAGCUUUCCAAUGAGAUGACUCAAUUAGGGUACCUUCCUGAAAAAAAAUCCAAAAUAAAGCUGCUAAUAGGUGGGAUCUAAAAAAACCCAAAAGAUAGCAUUCGCAAGAUAAAUCACCCCGUCGAAACGACAUCUACAACUCAACGCCCUAGGGAAACAUUCCAUACGAACAAGGCACCCGUAAUUCAUGUUGAGGCACCCAUCACAGACCAUAACCAGAACAUCAAAGUUGAUACAACUAACACCGACGCUAGGCAACGAAGACGUUGCGAGCUGAUGACAUCAGAUGCAAUGGAAACCAAGCUAGAUAGUCGGUCUUCAAAAUCAUCAAAGGAGACCGAACAAGAAUUGUCACUAGCUCCGUGUCAGCUUGACUUGCAGGGGCGGGCGAACCAACCAUAUUCGAUUACAAGCUGCACGAUUGAGACUUAGCCGCCCUCAAUCGUGCAACCCGUGUCCCGACUGCUGUUUUAUUUGUUUUGUAUUUCCUUUCUUGUUCUUUUAGCUUUUGGAACUUGCGGUUUUCUUGCUCAUACCGGUGAUCCCUGUCUGGAUGUUCUGUCAUUGGACAGAAAGGAUUGAGAUGUUUGUUUUUGCAAGGCUCCGCAAUCCAUGUUAGCCUCGUUAGUGAGGACUGCACCUCCAAUUGGAAUCCACGUAAGCUUCAUAUUGUUACGAUGUCAUGAUAAUAAUAUGUUUUGAUUUGGUAAAAAAAAUAUCUUCAAUUAAUCAGAGUAUUUGGAGUUGGGACACGUUCAAAUCCACAUUAUUAGGGGAACAGUUGAUAUUAUCUAAACAUAGACUUAAAAAUAAGACUAUAGAUAGGUAAUUUUAAAAAUCAACCCUUAAUAAUCGGCAUGAAUAACCUUAUGAACCCUCAUUAUAAAUACUAUAAUUCGAUUCAAGGAUUCACAAAUCAAUAAAUAGUGCUUAACAAACAAUAAUUUAAUUUCGAGAUCGCAAUCAAAUAUGAAGGGAUCAUCAUCAAUCGUAGCAUUGCUAUUAGCAAUGGUAAUGUACGGAAGAACGAGCGCUCACGAUCAAGCUAUAUUCGAUGUUAUGAAAUUCGGUGCAGUUUGCGAUGGAGCUACAGACAAUUCUCAGGUCCUUCUUUAAAAAGCUCAAUUUAUGCUUUAAUUAUAACAUUUUUUUUUCUGUCAUUUCAACUAGUUUCAUGAUAUAUGAAAUUAUUCCAAUCCGAACAAAAUUAAUCAUAAUUUCCUACAUAUAAAAAAAUAAUUCAUUUUGCCAAAUCUCAUAAUAUUUUGAAACAUGUGCGUAAAUAAACAGGCGUUUGUCAAAGCCUGGUGUGCCGCAUGCAAAUCACCCACCCCCGCUAAAGUAGUAGUCCCACCGGGGGAGUACCUCACCGGAGUGACGAAGCUGCUUGGUCCAUGCAAUGCUCCGAUCGAGCUUGAAAUCAACGGCAUCAUCAAGGCACCCAAGGCCGUUGCUGGUGAAGACUGGUUGCUCAUCGAAAGUAUCAACGAUAUCAGGGUAUUUGGCACCGGCACAGUCGAUGGCCAAGGUGCAGAAUGCUGGGAGAAAAAGAUAAAGGAUGAUCGUUCACCGGUAAGUAUCCGUUUUACUGUAAUUUUAUACCGACAUUUCGUAUCUAAUUAACUUAUACAUAUGAUGUUAUUAACGUUACUUUUAUGGGGCGAGUGUUCAGAACAUUAGGUUCCAGCGCAUCAACAACGGGUUGGUUGAGGGGCUCACGAGCAAAGACAGCAAGUUCUUCCACAUGUCCACCCUCGGCGCCAAGAACUUGACCUUCAGACACCUGCACUUCAUUGCUCCGGCCGAGAGCAGGAACACCGAUGGCAUCCACGUCAGCAGGUCAUCAUUCAUCACAAUUAUCGACACCAUCUUCGAGACGGGCGAUGAUUGUGUCUCCAUAGCCGACGACAUCGAUACAGUUACCGUCAAGAACGUGAAGUGCGGGCCCGGCCACGGCAUCAGCAUCGGGAGCUUAGGGAAGUACGACACGGAGAAGCCGGUGAAGAAUAUCUGGGUCCAGAACUGCACCAUCUCCAACUCCGAUAACGGGGUCAGGAUCAAGUCGUGGCCUGACAGGUUCGCCACAUCGUUGACCGGCGUCCGUUUCGAGGACAUCACAUUGGACAACGUCGCGAACCCAAUCAUCGUCGACCAGCUGUACUGCCCUAAUAACGAGUGUAACGGCAAGGUAUGUAGGCACAUUUGACAAGGUUAUUUGUUAUCAAACGGUUCCAUCCCAAUAAAUCUAAAGUCUUUUUUAAUUUUCUGUGCAUUUGUAGUUGGGGCCGAGCAAGGUGCAGAUCAGCGACAUAACGUUCAAGAACGUGAAGGGAACUUCGAGUACGAAAGAGAUCAUCCAGCUCGUUUGUAGCAAAACCCUCCCUUGCGAGAACAUCCAAAUGACCGACAUUGAUAUCUCUUUCAAAGGUGCUGUUGGUGAAGCAGUCUGCGAGAAUGUGAAGCCGGUGCUUUCAGGGGUCAUCAACCCACCAGGUUGCGGUGACGCCAAACAAGAAUUAUAGAGACCGCACGCACUUUAUAUAUUAGUAUCUACAAAUCGGUUAUUAGAACACAAGCAUGGACUAUCUGUCUCCAUGAUUCCUAAGUGGUUGUUAGAACAAAUAUCCAACCGCAUUUUAUACAAGGAUCUCAUUUUCCUCAAAUAAUACCAAUAAAUUAUUUUGUUAGCUUUCCAAUAGCAUUUUAUAUGUAUCUAAACUUUACAAAAAGACAUCUUCAAAUAUAAUAAAGUGGACAUUGUUGAAUCAAUUGACGAAUUUCAAGAAUUAUCGUACCACUACCACCCUACCGAAUGGAGUGGAGUAGUUGCAAGAACUCGGGUACCAACGUUGCCUGCAUAGAUUUAUUCUCAUGUUGUCACUUGUCACCUCUGGAAAUCUGUUGCUAACUGAUACUUCUAUUCGGGCGCCCUGCAUUUGUAUAGCAUAUGCAGAGUCACUUAUGGUUCAGGGUGUUCUCCACCGCAAAACCUUUGUUAAUAUUGCUGAUAUAUAGAUGUGCUGGUCUUACUCAUGAAGAGAAACCUUGCUUAAUUAGUUGCUUGCUCUUCUUUCAUGGUUUGCGCCGAUAGCGGUCGCAAAUGUUUCGCAUUCAUCCGUUGGAUCAAUGAUCAGAUUCCUAUGUAUGACCUUGUCGAUUGCUCCUGUAAAGGACAACGAGGGGCAUUACAUUACACUUCUUCUGCUGCUUUAGAAACCUACGUUUUUUUUCAAAAAAGGAGAAAAAAUAGAUAAAACGCCGAAAUUCCUAGAUAGGCUUCGAAACGUUUCGAUUCCUCGGUACCGAAAUCGAAACGGAACGGCAGUUGGCCGAGUCAAUCUGGAAAUCCUCAGAAAAUAAAAAUAAACUCCGAAACGCGAAACGUUUCGUAUUCCUCAAACCGAAAUCGAAACGCGGUAAAUUGACGAUAAAGAUAAAUUGACGAUACGUAUCGUGUGGUGGGAUGUCGUGAGAUAUAUGUGAUAUAUUGACUUUUCUUGCGAGAUGUUGACCGUGGGUAAAUGGGGACCUGCGAAUGAAUAACAGAGCAAGGGGAGAAUGAAAAUCGUCGACGGACGGCUCUGUACGAGAAGUCUGACGCCGGUUGCCACAUCUAUUUAUGAUUUAAGAACCGUUGCGCGACUGUUUAGCUAUUUAUGAUUCAUUAAAAAACAGUUUCUUUAGUAAUUAGUUGAGUCUUCCCUCUGUUCUUCAGCCACAACACUCUCUGGAUCCAAAAACCACCACUACAAAAUCAAAAUUCACCCACGCACAGAUCACAAACCAACGAGAUCAACAAUGGUGAGCGUGAGCAACACGUUAGUGGCGAUAAUCAACACAAUCCUACUCCUAAUCGGCCUGGCGGCGAUCGGGGUCGGCGUCACAUUCGCCAUCGGCGGCGGCCAGCAGACCCAGUGCCGUGAGGGCCUCGAGAAGCCCCUGAUGGUCAUGGGCGCGGCCAUCUUUUUCGUCGCGACGAUCGGGCUCGUGGGUUCGUGCUACCGGAACAAUUUCUUCCUGUUCGUGUACUUGGUCGUCAUGUUCACGAUCAUUGUCGCUUUACUUUUAGCGACAGUUUUUUUAAUAUUUGUGACGAACCAAACUAUAGCCAGGACGGUGACGAAGAUGAAGAUUUACAAUCUGGACGGGUGGCUUAGGAGGAAUUACGCGAAUGAGGAGAACUGGGUUGGGAUAAGGAGUUGUUUGGUUGAUGCUGAGAUCUGCCGGAAGGUUGUCGCCGGUGACGAGCAGAGUACCGUCGUUGAUUUUGUCAAGAAAAGAUUGUCCUCUACUCAGGUUAGCUCUUUUCUUCUUAACUAUGUGUUAUAAAUCAAAUUAUGAUAAAUGGUUUAAAAAACUAUUGAAUGAAUUUGUUAAUUUCGUGUAUCGAUUAGGUUGGAGUGGAAUUAUGUGACGAAAUGAAUGUGUAUUUUAGAAUUUAGUAUCAACGAAUUAGUGUGUUCAAAUAUUAUAACAAUGAAAUUAUGAUAAAUAGUGACAAACAUCAUUUAAAGAGUUUGUAAGUUUCGUGUUCAAGAUUCCGUAACCAUGAAGUUAUGAUAACUAGUGAUUAAAACUUGUCAUAGACCAUAGAUUAAUGGAUUUGGAAGUUCAAUUAGGUUGUUAAUUUGAUGUUUUGAUUAGAUUGAACUGGAUUUUGUGUGUUCAACAUUUAGUAACGAUGAAAUUAGUUAUCAGUGAAAUUGACACACUCUUUUCACUCAGUUUGUCUUUUCAUUUUCUUUCCCCACUGCAGUCUGGCUGCUGCACACCACCACAAUCCUGCGGCUUUGCAAUGAAGAACUCGACGUUCUGGAUACCUCCGAAGAACUGGACCGCGUCAAAGACCACAGACCGAGACUGCAACACGUGGAGCAACAAGCAGACCAACCUCUGCUACGAUUGCGAGUCGUGCAAGGCCGCAUUUGUAUCCAGCAUCAAGCGCCAGUGGAGGAUACUGGCCAUUGUCAAUGUCUGUGUUCUCAUCUUCGCCAUCACUGUCUACAUUAUCGGCUGCUACGCUCGCUUCAGCAACUCAUCCCCAUCUCCCUCUUCCAAUCGAAAGUAUUUCGGUGGGAAACUGCCUUGAGUGGAUUCGGUUUCGAUUUGUUUCGUCAUGUUUUUUACAGCUAGAGUAAAGGUUCAUGAUUCAUUUAUUCUUUCGAGAUUUAAUAGUUAAAUCGCAACGGGAAACAUAAGUACCAAUGACUCUGCAGUAUGCAUUAGUGUCUUCCCAAUGACAAAAACCUCGAGCCUACGAUGUAAACGCGAUCGGUGUUUGAACAUUGGGACCAACGAUCCGAAAUUCGACAAGAUUACUCAAAGUAGCCUUUUAUUUGAAGAAAGUGCAGCCGAGGAACAAGAAAAAGUAAGCUACCAACGAUGUCAUGAGCUCGAGAGUCCAAGUAGGGUGUAUGAGGAAAGUUGGAACCAGAGGAACCACCACUGACCCGCAUAUCCACCCGGUAGCGAGAGCUCCUAGCCUGCAUUUUCAAAGAUCGAUUUUGAUCAGUGAAAAACGACCCAAUGGCCGGAUUAACCAUGUCGGUUUCUGUUCUCGUACUUGAAAAACUCACCCAAUGAUGAAGGCUCUACCCAAGCUCUUUGUCUUCUCAUUCAGGAAAUAUAUGCACGCAGCCAGAGAGACUGCUACCUGCAAACGAAUUUGUAACACAAAUACGAGAAUCACCAUCUAUAAAUACUUGGUAAGAGACAAGUAGAACAGCAAACCUGGAAAGCAGGUCCACCAUCUGCAGAAUUCAUGAUGCUCCAGCCGCCCAUGAACGCGAAAAGGAACAGCCUCCUGAAAAUGAUGUCCAUGGGAGGCAUUUCCACCAACCCGAGCAAGUUCUUCACCCAAGCGGGAGACUCAUCAACCUGCUUCUUCAGCUUGGUUUUCAGGUUGAUCUUCGUCUUCUUACGUUGCUUAAAGCUGGUCAUCAAGAGUUUCUCGAAAGCCGCCUCGAUAGAUUCCUCGCUGCUCUCAUGCCCUGCAUAUUGUUCCCUAAGGAAAUUUCGUGCAUCCCAAACUUCCUCCUCGGAUGCAUCAGGGCUCACUCCCAGACGCUUGUAAGGAUCCCAAACCUUCAUUCGUGGGAACUUCUGCGUGUAGCCUGAAAGACAAUCAUCGUUACUGACUGAUUGAAUUAGUUUAACUUCAUACAUGAGAUCAAUCUGCCACAGCUCACAACCAUCAUUGUGAUUUCAUUGACAGUUCUAUCAGUAAACCUUUAAUAAAAUAUCACAAAUGCUAGAGCCAGAAAUCCUAAUAGAUCAUCUGAACUUCCAUUCAGCAAUCAAAUUCAUAAUCCAAAUGAACAGAACAUUAUUACGAUUCUUCCACGAUUCGACCAACAAACCUUCGAACACCAGUGCCAGAAAAUCCUAACACAUCAUCCAAACUUCCAUUCAACAAUCAAAUUUCAAAAUCUCUAUGCCUAUGGAGGAAAAGCCAAUUCCUUUCGGCUAGUGGAAUUCGUACUUUAGCAAGGAAAUUGAAAAUGAGAUUAUACCUUCGUAAUCGUAAGGACUAUCCCAAGCACAUUUGAUGACUGUAAGCUUUCUAGAGCGAUCCGGGAGCGGACUGUAAGAUAACAACUUUGGGUUCUUCUGUAAUCCAUUACUACAUUAGCAAAAACACCAGAAAAACGAAUUAGGAAAAGAUGAUAAACAGCAGAAUCAGCACAACAACACGAGCAGCAAUAGAGAAAGGGUUAGUAAGAGAAGUGGAUAAUUUCGAGACGGAUUACAGUGUUGGGGCGAGGAACGGGGCAGAGAGAUUAAGGUUGGAAAGGAGGAGAGAAGUCAUUGCCGGAAGCUGCGCGGCGACGUUCGUUGAGGCUUACUCUUCGUCGGCGGGUUGCUCUGGACUCUGGAGGGAAGGUUUUAUUAUAUAUUUAUUAGGCGGAAGAAUCUGGAUUCUGGGCCCCACCAAAUCAGUUCUCCUCGUGUGUAUACAAAAGUGAAGAAUUAUAGACGUCCCCUAUUGAUCUGGAGGUUAAGCGGGUUAUGUGUUGGGUUAAUCAGGUUACGAGUUAUGAAUUAAUAGAUUUUAUGGAAUAUAAAUUGUAGCUGAUUCGAUGAUAAACUUUUGUUGGUUUAUUGGAUCAUAAAUUAUCAAUCGAGUCCAGUUGGAUUGUCGGAUUGAGACUGAGUUGAAUCGGGUCAAUUUUUAUCAGGUAUAAAAGCUAAUAGUUAGGGAUCAUGUGUAGAGAACGCCGCAGUUAAGUAACUAGCUUAUAGAAAAUCGGGUUGGACCAAAUAGGCAGUUAACCACUCACGAUGAUGACCCGGCCGAUUCAAAAGGCAACCGAUUUAGGGACUAGGAUCAUAGGAUAAACCAACCGAUCAAAGAGCGCAAGUCCCACCACGCCUUGCAGCAUAGCAUUUGCAAAGAAUCAUCAUAAACAUUCCAAACAACCAUUCAAGCACCAUUUCUUCACAGCAGAUUGAUCACCAUUCACCAUUGCAUAGACCUUCCCCAAAAAAAUGUUUCAAUCAAUCAAUCAGCUCCACCAGGAAGCAACUUGCUGGUGCCAAAUCGCUUCGUGGCAGCAGGGAUGAUCCGAGAGGGGGAGAUGAUCUCCGCAAACGACACAUUGUACGAAUCUGUCCCCAGCCGACUCUGCAGCCACCCUCUCCCACCCGAGAACCCGCCUCCCACAACCCAGCAGUUCUUGAACCCGAGGCUGGUCAGCGUUCGGGCCACUGUCUUUGCUGAAUCGGCGUAUGAGUCGAGGAUGACGAUGUUGGAACCUUUGUUGACUCUCUUGAGGUACGAGAUCUUCAGUGCUGCUAGCUCGGCUUCCAGCUUCUUGGUGUUCUUGACCAAGCCUUUCAGCUUGCUUGGUAGUUCUUCCAGUCUGCAAACAUCAACAAAUAUGAGCACAUUUGGCCUUUUACCAUUUGUCAAGCAAGAGUUUCUCAUAGAAAAGUUAAAAACUCACGGUAUCGACACCAUCUUGUUCUUGGCAUUGGAUGGGAGGCGAGGGAUGCCGGCUUUGUCCUUGUCCUUCUCCGAUCGGAUGUCGAUCAGGACAUGGUUCUUGGUUGAUAUUAGAUCAAGUGCUUGAGCAGCAGUAAGGUCACCUGUUACAAUAUAGUGAUCAUAGUAAUCACUCAACUACGAUAAUACCCUCCCAUCGCCAAAAAAGGGAAGCAAAGAAGUCACAAGAGAAGUUUGAACCUUGGUAGCCACGGAGGUAGAACGAAAACGCAGACCAUACCGGAGGCAAGAGGAAGUAGAGAGUUAUACCGGCUUCCAGUGCUACAGCGAACACUACAGGAUCUGAAGACGCUAUGGUCUCAACCGUCGACGAAGCUAAUGGCUUUGCGCCUUCGAGUACCUUGCCCGACUCCUGUGCAACUCCAGCCACUAUCUGCAUCAAAACACCCCACAAAAAAGCCAAGAAGUUGGUUUAUGUCUAAGCUACAUUUGCCGUACAGGAACAUACGAUGAAAGAGUGAAAGCAAUCAGCUUUAUGCCAAUCAUUUCUGAGGCCACAUCUCCAAACUUGAGGAACCUUAUCGGAGAUUGGAUCGUGAUGCUUAUCAGCUUAGUCUCUAGUACAAGAUUUAACUAGUUAAACCCGUCAGAACCUCGAUUCUGUGAAACCUUACUGGAGAUUGGACUGUAAGCCGGUCAACACAAUCAACAAUGGCAGUUGCAAUGGAAAAUCUUGGCCAUGACUCAAUUCUGCUAAACCUAACCAAUCCAAGCAAAACGAUUUCUCACCAGCAUUUCUGUCAAACUGGAUUUAUUCCAAACCAUAUCAGAGAUCAAACCGAAACUUAACCAGCUUCUAAAUGUUCACUCAACUAGAAACAAUGACAAGCGAAACAAAUUUAAUUUUUCCCAAAAAGUUCAAACCUUGGCAGCAGAAACUACAGGCUGAGUAUCAACGCCGCUGCUCUGAAUAACCUCCUGAGCCUUCCUUGACAGCUCUGAAGCGACGGGGGAAGCAAUCUUCACCACCUGCUCUCCGGCCUGCUUCGCAAUCGGGACGGCAAACUCGACUGCCGGCUUAACAGCAUUGCUGACACUUGAGAAGAUACUUGCAGCAGUGCCGAAAGCGGCAAAACCGACAUCCACUACCUGAUCGACCGUCUUGUCUAUCUACCGAAAUUUCAGCAAACUGGAAUUUAAACAGCAGGGAGAAUUGGAAAAAUUACUGUUCGGAAAGACGGAAAAUUUCCAUACCUCAGCUAUGUAAGAGGCGAUCUGGUCCUUGGAGGUGGAGAGGGCUCGAGCUUCGAACGGGGUGGAUGUGAAGAGGGUGAAGAGGGAGAUGGUGGUUGAAGCUGGGAGUGAGACGGAGGAGGAUAUUGGUGGGCGUUUGAGCUGGGUUUUGGUGGGUUUGGAGAAAUGGAGCUUAGAUGAAAAAGAAGAAGUUGAAGCAGAUGGAGACGAAGAAGAUGAUGGUGUGGAGAGGGUGAGCUUGGCGGCAACUGGAGAUCUCAGCGCCAUUUCCAGUUGCUGCUGGGAAAGAGUGAGUGGCUACUGGCUGGGUGAUGAACUGAUGAUGAUGAUGAUGAUGACGAAUGAAGAAGAGACGAUGGAGUCAUUUUUUGUGAUGGGGAAUCGAUGGCUGAGAAUAGAGGUGGAAGGAAACAAGGGUUUCCGACCAAUUGAAUGAUGUAAAAGUUCACGACCCAAAUCUGUUUGGCCAUAUCCGAACCAGUAAAUAGAAAGAAAAAAACAAGUUGUUCAUAUAAGUGUAACUUAGUGAUCGUUUGGAUUAGUGCAUUUAGAGGUUGAAUUGAUUCACAUUUCACCCGCCAAAGGUGAAAUUGAGUAAUUAGUAUAAAGGACAAAUCCAAAUAGACUUUGACUUUGGAGUCGUUGCCUUAUUUCUCACGGCAUCCCUCCUAUAAUUUCCCCUUGCCUCGUAACUGGUUGGAGAUCCGCAGGUGAGUAGUUCAUUAUCCGGAAAGAAUUGAGAUCGGAGAGAGAUGAGUAACCAGAAGAUGCCGACCUUCAGCAUAGAGGCGUUCAAGUACAAUCCUCAGGUGGCGGUGGAUCCGAAUUACGCAGAUGAGACCUGGAAGGUCCUCGAACAUGCCAUUCACCGGAUUUACAACCACAACGCCACCGGCCUCGACUUCCAUGAGCUCUACAGGUCUGUCUCUGUUAGUGUGUGUUAUCUCCCUGUUAAAUCUAAUUAGUAAACGAAACGCUGUUAUACAUGCUGUAGUUUUGUAGCUGUGAUGAUGAAUUGAAGCAAACAGUAACGUUUGUUUCCAGGAAUGCUUACAAUAUGGUUCUGUACAAGUCCGGCGAGAAGUUGUACUCCGGCCUGGUUUCGACAAUGACUCGUCAUCUAAACGAGAUGUCCAAGUCAAUCGAGGCCGCCCAAAGGGAAGAAUCCUUUCUGGAGGAGCUGAACAGGAAGUGGGAUGAUCACAACAAAGCACUUCAGUUGAUCAGAGACAUAGUGAUGUACAUGGAUAGAACUUACAUUCCUAGCACUGGUAAGACCCCUGUUCGCGAGCUUGGCCUCAACCUCUGGAGAGAUUAUGUUAUUCACUCCGGCGAAAUCCAGCCCAGGCUAUUGAAUGCACUUCUCUCAGCCAUUAGCAAAGAGCGAAGUGGCGAAAUCAUAGACCGUGGCCUGAUGAGAAACGUAAUCAAGAUGCUCAAGGAUGUAGGUUCUGCCGUUUACCAAGAAGACUUUGAGAAGCAUUUUCUUCAAAUUUCUGAGGGUGAAGUCGGAAUUUCCAGUGGAAUUAGUGCCGCGUGAGGUAUAGAUGUUGAAGCAUAUGCAUCGAACCUGAAGUUUUAUAGUUAUGGAGCAAUUACAAUGAUUUGCAAGUGAUUAAGUUCUCGAGUAUUUGGGAAACUAUAGAGUGAAUUCUGACGAAAACCAAAGGAGAAUCAAUCCUUUGUUCCCUUUUCCGAUUAGCUAUCAUACUCAAUACUCUCCGUUCUCAAGGUCUAACCACUUUACUCACUAUCCGUCCUCGAUCUCAUCCACUGAGCCGGAAACUCUGACCUCUUCGACCAGAAUGCAGUCAUUAUAAAAUACACAACUGAAUGACAGUGAUCCACCUCUAAUGACCUAUCUGAUCAAACAGAAAGUGAACUAAUACAGAAGCUGAGAGAGAUAAUAUAAGAACUCUCAACACAAAUGUUAUUCCUCUGAAACAAGUGACAUGAAAGAGAAUCAGAAUAAUCAAAGAGGCCACCUCCAAAAAGAAAAGGCAACAGAAAGCUCCAUCCAUGGCAAAGAUUAGAUUCUUCAUUCUGCAGCAGUCAAAUUCAAUGAAAACCAUAAAUGGGAAUUUUCUCAGCCUUCACAUCAUCAUCUGCAACUUCCCAUUUAACGCUAAGCAAAAACCAAAUUGGUUGCCUGCCUUCCUGCAAAAUCCACAUCACAGUUAGUAGCAGAGAAAGAAAAGGAAUAUCCUUCCACUUUGCUACGUUUUCCCAGAUGCUGCCAUACAUUACAUUAGUCCUUUCCCCUCUAGGGAGAUGGAUACUUCUGUUUCCAGUAAAAAUAACACAGUUAGUUCCUCUCCAUCACUUACAUCGUCGGGGCAAUUCGAACUAGCCAAGAUACACAGUUUGGUACAAGGAAAUGCGGCACCAGAUUCUCUUACAGGCCUAACAAACUGUAGGAAUUUUUAACCAAGUUCUUUUCUUUCAGCAGCAAAAGGGGAAAAUGUACAGCAAAAGCAAAUACAAACGUCAGCCUGAUUAACCCAGAAAGCUUUCACUUUAGCGAAAGAUGGCUACUUUAUGAGUUCAAGCAGACAAGCAACUACUUUUUUCUUCUGGCCACCAAAUCAAAAGAGUACAUCAUCAUCAGACCCCAUUUCUUGACCAACCUUUGAUUAAAUCUACAUACUUGCAUAUCAGAAAAUCAACAACACUUGAAAACCAGCUAUAUGCAUACAGAUCUAACACAGUGUAGCUAGCCAUCAAAGUUCCAGUUGUUAAGUUAGGGGAAAUGAAGAAUUUUUCAAUGGAAUCAACCAGAUCAACAUAUAAGCAACAAGAUUAGCAGCAGAGAUUCGAUUAUCCAAACAAAAGUAAUAAACUUUCCAAAAUCACAGAAGCUACAGAUCCAUGAGAAGGUAGGAAGGGAGAAACUAGGGGGGUUGCUGGAUGCAGAGGUUUAUCGAUCGAUUCACGUGUUUUUGUGAUCGGAUGAACCCACAUAAACCAUGAAGAGAUCGAUGAACCGCUGCCUCCAAACUCCGUGUGUUCCCUCCCUCUUCACAACCCUUCAGACACACGCAAAAAAAUCAACGAUCAGAUCUGAAAAUAGUAAUCGGAGAAAGAACUUAGAAUCGAGAUCCGAAAUCUGAUACUUCCCUUCAAUAGCCGCCAUGGCAGUGGGGUUUAAUCAGCCUGUGUGUUCAUAAUCUACGUUUUCUCUGCAUCUGCAACUGAUGAUAUGGGUUUUGAGAUUGAGAAAGAGAGAGAUAGGGUAUGAACUAUGAAGUAUGGUGGUUGGUGAUAGAUAAUGGAGGGUUUCGGCGGCCUUGAUGGGAGAGCUCUCUGCUCUGCUCAGCUCAGCUCAGCUGAUAGUGAAAGAUUCCGAAUCUUUCGGUAUUCGAUAUUUUUUUGUAUUGUUU